rnacentral:rRNA from 1 species
AUUGAACGCUGGCGGCAUGCUUUACACAUGCAAGUCGAACGGUAACAGGCCGCAAGGUGCUGACGAGUGGCGAACGGGUGAGUAAUGCAUCGGAACGUGCCCAGUCGUGGGGGAUAACUGCUCGAAAGAGCAGCUAAUACCGCAUACGAUCUAUGGAUGAAAGCGGGGGACCGUAAGGCCUCGCGCGAUUGGAGCGGCCGAUGUCAGAUUAGGUAGUUGGUGGGGUAAAGGCUCACCAAGCCAACGAUCUGUAGCUGGUCUGAGAGGACGACCAGCCACACUGGGACUGAGACACGGCCCAGACUCCUACGGGAGGCAGCAGUGGGGAAUUUUGGACAAUGGGGGCAACCCUGAUCCAACAAUGCCGCGUGCAGGAAGAAGGCCUUCGGGUUGUAAACUGCUUUUGUCAGGGAAGAAAUCCUCUGGGUUAAUACCCCGGGGGGAUGACGGUACCUGAAGAAUAAGCACCGGCUAACUACGUGCCAGCCGCCGCCGUAACAC